AUGGUGAGAGUUGGUAUUAAGGAGGACUUUGAGCAAUUAGUUCACAAUGCCAAGGUUGGUCCCUACAUUUCAGAUAAGUGCGACCAAUGCCUCAUCCUCACUGAAUCAUUUUUCAAAGAAUUUAAAUUCUUUCCCCGUGAGUCUAGGGUGUCUUUUAAACUUUAUGAUAAUCCAUUUACCAUUUCUCUAGAAAGGUUUGCUCACCUCUGCAAAAUCCCAUUCUGGGGUUCACUCGAUGAGCCACCUAGGUCUGAGUUUGAAGCAUUCUUAACUAGUCUUUGCUUUGGUCAAACUAGGGGAGUUAAGCAAGGUAGAAUAAAGAGCAUGCAUUUUCCUGUAAUUUAG
rnacentral:rRNA from 1 species